rfam:Stegodyphus mimosarum contig79083, whole genome shotgun sequence.
GCGUUCGUGGUGUAGUGGUCAGCACGCUGAGCGCGUAUUCUAGAGGCCCGUGGUUCGAGUCCCGGCGAAGGCG